rnacentral:rRNA from 1 species
CGUGUCGUCAGCUCGUGCCGUGAGGUGUCGGGUUAAGUCCCAUAACGAGCGCAACCCUUACCGUUAGUUACCAUCAGGUUAAGCUGGGGACUCUAGCGGGACUGCCACCGUAAGGUGAGAGGAAGGUGGGGAUGACGUCAAAUCAGCACGGCCCUUAUGUCCAGGGCUACACACGUGUUACAAUGGCCGGUACAAAGGGCAGCUACUUCGCGAGAAGAUGCUAAUCUCGAAAGCCGGUCUCAGUUCGGAUCGAAGUCUGCAACCCGACUUCGUGAAGCUGGAUUCGCUAGUAAUCGCGCAUCAGCCAUGGCGCGGUGAAUACGUUCCCGGGCCUU